GGAACGCAGCCCUCGAAGUCGCCAUAUUAUAGUUACAUCACACAAUUUUCGCGCGUUGUUUGGUGUCGUUUAGUACGAUUUGACGCUGUUAAGUAUUCAAGUGAAUUAUUUCAACGAAUUAUUUCACAUAAAAUUAUGAGUUAUAUUAAUUUGAAUGAAGUUAAUUACGCGCGUUAUAGAGAUUAUACAAUUCGCUGAAUCGCAAAAUUAACGAAUAGUGCGCGUUUUAUAAAUGUUUCACUCAUGAUCGAGAUAUGACACAAGAUUUUGCUUCAGAAAUUCGGCUUGAUGAAGGUUAGGAGGUUUAAAAGUUUGAGGCUAUAAAGUUAUACGACAAAGUGGACAAAGUGUACUAUCAUUACUACUGGCAUAAUUCUAAAGGAGAAUAUAGUUUACACCAAAAUACUGUAAUGGAAUUUAAGGAUAGAAAUUCUACAGGAUAAAAAUUCUAACUCUAUUUGUAUCGCAACAUGAAAGGGAAUACAUCGAUUAUAUAUACCAAAAUGCUCUAAUGGAAUUUAAGGAUAGAAAUUCUACAGAAUAAAAAUUCUAACUCUAUUUGCAUCGCAACAUGAAAAGGAAUACAUCGAUUAUAUGAUAUGGAGCAUUGUAUACAGGAUAUAUUGAAAAUAUCUUAGUAUUGUUAAGGUUAACAGUAAUUUUCUGCAUAUCUAUAUUUUUAUGCAUGUUGCCUG